rnacentral:rRNA from 1 species
CAAGUCGAGCGGUAGCACAGAGAGCUUGCUCUCGGGUGACGAGCGGCGGACGGGUGAGUAAUGUCUGGGAAACUGCCUGAUGGAGGGGGAUAACUACUGGAAACGGUAGCUAAUACCGCAUAAUGUCGCAAGACCAAAGAGGGGGACCUUCGGGCCUCUUGCCAUCAGAUGUGCCCAGAUGGGAUUAGCUAGUAGGUGGGGUAACGGCUCACCUAGGCGACGAUCCCUAGCUGGUCUGAGAGGAUGACCAGCCACACUGGAACUGAGACACGGUCCAGACUCCUACGGGAGGCAGCAGUGGGGAAUAUUGCACAAUGGGCGCAAGCCUGAUGCAGCCAUGCCGCGUGUAUGAAGAAGGCCUUCGGGUUGUAAAGUACUUUCAGCGGGGAGGAAGGUGCUGAGGUUAAUAACCUCAGCAAUUGACGUUACCCGCAGAAGAAGCACCGGCUAACUCCGUGCCAGCAGCCGCGGUAAUACGGAGGGUGCAAGCGUUAAUCGGAAUUACUGGGCGUAAAGCGCACGCAGGCGGUCUGUCAAGUCGGAUGUGAAAUCCCCGGGCUCAACCUGGGAACUGCAUUCGAAACUGGCAGGCUAGAGUCUUGUAGAGGGGGGUAGAAUUCCAGGUGUAGCGGUGAAAUGCGUAGAGAUCUGGAGGAAUACCGGUGGCGAAGGCGGCCCCCUGGACAAAGACUGACGCUCAGUGCGAAAGCGUGGGGAGCAAACAGGAUUAGAUACCCUGGUAGUCCACGCCGUAAACGAUGUCGACUUGGAGGUUGUUCCCUUGAGGAGUGGCUUCCGGAGCUAACGCGUUAAGUCGACCGCCUGGGGAGUACGGCCGCAAGGUUAAAACUCAAAUGAAUUGACGGGGGCCCGCACAAGCGGUGGAGCAUGUGGUUUAAUUCGAUGCAACGCGAAGAACCUUACCUACUCUUGACAUCCAGAGAACUUUCCAGAGAUGGAUUGGUGCCUUCGGGAACUCUGAGACAGGUGCUGCAUGGCUGUCGUCAGCUCGUGUUGUGAAAUGUUGGGUUAAGUCCCGCAACGAGCGCAACCCUUAUCCUUUGUUGCCAGCGGUCCGGCCGGGAACUCAAAGGAGACUGCCAGUGAUAAACUGGAGGAAGGUGGGGAUGACGUCAAGUCAUCAUGGCCCUUACGAGUAGGGCUACACACGUGCUACAAUGGCGCAUACAAAGAGAAGCGACCUCGCGAGAGCAAGCGGACCUCAUAAAGUGCGUCGUAGUCCGGAUUGGAGUCUGCAACUCGACUCCAUGAAGUCGGAAUCGCUAGUAAUCGUAGAUCAGAAUGCUACGGUGAAUACGUUCCCGGGCCUUGUACACACCGCCCGUCACACCAUGGGAGUGGGUUGCAAAAGAAGUAGGUAGCUUAACCUUCGGGAGGGCGCUUA